rnacentral:rRNA from 1 species
GAAUUCACUAGUGAUUGUAGUCAUAUGGUUGUCUCAAAGAUUAAGCCAUGCAUGUCUAAGUAUAAGCAAUUUAUACAGUGAAACUGCGAAUGGCUCAUUAAAUCAGUUAUCGUUUAUUUGAUAGUUCCUUUACUACAUGGUAUAACUGUGGUAAUUCUAGAGCUAAUACAUGCUUAAAAUCUCGACCCUUUGGAAGAGAUGUAUUUAUUAGAUAAAAAAUCAAUGUCUUCGGACUCUUUGAUGAUUCAUAAUAACUUUUCGAAUCGCAUGGCCUUGUGCUGGCGAUGGUUCAUUCAAAUUUCUGCCCUAUCAACUUUCGAUGGUAGGAUAGUGGCCUACCAUGGUUUCAACGGGUAACGGGGAAUAAGGGUUCGAUUCCGGAGAGGGAGCCUGAGAAACAGCUACCACAUCCAAGGAAGGCAGCAGGCGCGCAAAUUACCCAAUCCUAAUUCAGGGAGGUAGUGACAAUAAAUAACGAUACAGGGCCCAUUCGGGUCUUGUAAUUGGAAUGAGUACAAUGUAAAUACCUUAACGAGGAACAAUUGGAGGGCAAGUCUGGUGCCAGCAGCCGCGGUAAUUCCAGCUCCAAUAGCGUAUAUUAAAGUUGUUGCAGUUAAAAAGCUCGUAGUUGAACUUUGGGCCCGGUUGGCCGGUCCGAUUUUUUCGUGUACUGGAUUUCCAACGGGGCCUUUCCUUCUGGCUAACCUUGAGUCCUUGUGGCUCUUGGCGAACCAGGACUUUUACUUUGAAAAAAUUAGAGUGUUCAAAGCACGCGUAUUGCUCGAAUAUAUUAGCAUGGAAUAAUAGAAUAGGACGUUUGGUUCUAUUUUGUUGGUUUCUAGGACCAUCGUAAUGAUUAAUAGGGACGGUCGGGGGCAUCA